rnacentral:rRNA from 1 species
GCAUUGGCUGUGCUGUCCAGGGUUGCUUGAUCUGGUCUGACCUUGGAAGCUAAACCUGGUUGGGUCUGAUUUGUUUUUGUAUGUGAGACCUCCUGGGACUACAAGGUGCUGUAAGCC